GUCUGCUCAGCUCCUUCGCCUGCCACCCGCAGAGUGAGGCCGGGAGCCGGAAUAUGACAUUACGGAUCCCAGCCUCACACUGCGGGUGGCGCGCGAGGGAGCUGAGCAGAC